GGGACGAACGCUGGCGGCGUGCUUAACACAUGCAAGUCGAACGGAAAGGCCCUCUUUUGGGGGUGCUCGAGUGGCGAACGGGUGAGUAACACGUGGGUGAUCUGCCCUGCACUUCGGGAUAAGCUUGGGAAACUGGGUCUAAUACCGGAUAGGGCUACAGGACGCAUGUUUUGUGGUGGAAAGCUUUUGCGGUGUGGGAUGGGCCCGCGGCCUAUCAGCUUGUUGGUGGGGUGAUGGCCUACCAAGGCGACG
rnacentral:rRNA from 1 species